rnacentral:lncRNA from 1 species
ACUUGGAGGGGAUGCUGGCGGCGUUGCCGGCGUUGAGGCCGCUGACACGUCCGGCGGCGCUCUUGAGGCAGUUGCAGGCGGUGCGCUUGUCGGCGGUGCUGCUGGCGGCGGAGUUGAGGCUCCUGACGCCGCUGCAGCAGGCCGCGGAGGGUGCGGUGCCGGUGCCGCGGGCGUAGGCGAGGCAGGGGCUAAUCGCGGAGUUCACCUGCCCGCAGGUGACGGCGGCCUCCGACGUCGUCGUCGCCGCUGCCAGCAGCACCGCGGCCACGACGACGGCGAUCAUCGCCACAGCAAACUGCAUGCUGCGUGCCAUGUCGAUCGAUCGAGCUAUUCGUGUGUGCUGAGUGAUCUGAGUGCCUGACUGUGUGCUAGUAUGCUAGCUUUGGAAUGCAGUGAGAGCAAGUGCUAGCUGGUGAGGAGAAUAUGCAGUGAAAUGUUGGUCCUUAAAUAGGCUUGAGAUCGAUCUGAGAGCUACAAUGGCUGAUGACAGAUGUCAUGCAUGGUGUGUGCAUGCUGUUUCUUUCGGUAGAACAUCAUCAUCGUACAGUUAAGAGCCGGGCAGGAGGAGGUGGUUGGGUGUUGGGGGCAGGAGGCAGAUGGAGGAUGUGGAUGGAAAUACACAUAUGCAGUGGUUAGUGGAUGCAGAGUGAAUUCAUCAUCAGCAGCAGCAGCAGCAGCAAACUUAAUAAAUAGCAGCCGCCUAACACGACUUAAUAAUAAAUUAAACAGUUAAGCGUCAUUUAAUCUCAUCACCCGCCUCACUGAUUAAUCGAAUGAGGCCUUGUUUAGUUCACCCCAAAAUCCAAAAAUUUUUCAAGAUUCACUGUCACAUCGAAUCUUGGGGCACAUGCAUGGAGCACUAAAUAUAAACAAAAAUAAAAACUAAUUGCACAGUUUAUCUGUAAAUCACGAGAUGAAUCUUUUAAGCCUAGUUACUCUAUAAUUGGACAAUGUUUGUCAAAUAAAAACGAAAAUGCUACAGUUCCAAAAACCAAAAUGUUUUCGGAACUAAACAAUAUAUAGCCUCCCACAGGCUCACAAAAUCUGAGAACUCACCUAUAUGUGGCCAAUUCAUCUAACAUAGCCUUUUGGACCGUGUAUUUUUUCCUUCGAGUCUUUUGAUGUAACAGCGGUUCAAUUGCCUUGACCGAUGUUCCAUUGAUCCAAUUCGAUGUCACGAAAGAGGCUAUAUUUUUUACAUUGCCUGUGGUGACUAUAUAUAGUUAAUGAAUUGAAGAGCUUGUGAUCAGAUUUGUCACAAGGAAUCUCCGUAUUGCUCCACGCUCUUUCCUUUUGUUUCUACUUAAACCAUAGCCGUCAUCUCAAUUGGACAAUCCCUUCGCCUUGGGAAGGGCGUGGUGGUGGACUAGUUGAUCAACGAAUGUCCUCCAAUGAUGUUCUCAAGUGGUAUUUCUCCUCGCCAAAGAAAAUUACGCCACAUCCUGUCUAUUCUUUUGAGCCUGGAACACUAUCAAAUGGUAUAUUAUUGGCAGCGUCAUUAGAAUCAUUUCUGUACUGGUGUUUCUCUAUUAGAUGUUGGCAGGAAUUUUCCUUUCCACCCCGGGAGCCUGGCACCAAAAUCUUUUCUAUCAGUGGCUAGACCUCCCUCCUUUCUUAAUUUCCGGGUAUAUGUAAUUGAAGCCCUAAAUAUUUUCCCUGGGAAGUUGUGGAUGAGCGAAGGGACCAUGUUAGGUUGGAGCCAUAUUGGAAAAAAAAAAUAGUCUUGGACAUGUUAAUUUUUAGCCCUGAACAAUUUCCAAAGAAAUGUAGGAAUUUUGUAAGCUGCUCAACUGCUCUGAAGAUGGGUUUGCAAACAAACCCACAUUUUAUUUGUGUAGAGAGAGCACCACAAGUUUGCUGCUUCCGGUACAACCAGUUGUAGGAUAUCCUGUUGUGCCGCUCAUAUUCAAUGAUUUGUUGGUAGCGGGUCUACUGCUAACAUGCAUGAAAAGUAGGGGCCGGGAAAGCGGAUUGCUUUGCCUCAAUCCUCUUGCAUGUUUGAUGUUUUGACUCGAUCAUCUAUUUAUGAGAAUUUUGGAUGAGAAGGACCCUAAGUUUCUUUGAUAUCCAAUUAGGUCAUUUUGUGCUAAAACCAAGCGCAGUUAGAAAUUCCAGAAGGUGUGCCAUUCUAUGGAGUCGAAAGCUUUGGAGAUGUCCAGUUUUAUAAAUAGAUCGAGUGAGCUGAUUUUUUUCUGUAGAAGUUGAAUACUCUUUGUACAUAAAGAAAAUUGCCCCUUUUAUUGAUGAAUGCAUUUUGAGCAUGUGAAACCAACUCAUUCAUAUAUGGAGCUAGUCUAUUUGCAAAGAUUUUCGUAAUGAUUUUUAUGAGGCUGUUAAUUAGGCUAAUCAGUCUCUAUACUCAAACAUUGUUUGUGCUUCCUACUUCUUAGGGAGUAGAACUAUACUUGCUUCAUUAAACAACUGCAUUUUUGCAGUCCUAUGGUUGUCGUUCUUGAUUAUAUCCCAACUCUUCUUAUAGAAGAUCCCGAUAAGACCAACUAGUCCUGGGGCUUUCUACGACGGAAGCUCCUUGAUUAUGGUAAGUAGCUCCUGCUCUGUAAAUGGCAUGUCUAGUUCAUCAAGGUUAUGUGGAGAGUAACCCAACGUCUCCCAAUUGAUUGACUAUAUGUUCUUGUAGCUCUUGUUCCCUGGCUUUGGCGAAGAACUCAACAGGGGACCUCUGUUCCCACGUUGGGAAAUUGCGACCCUCUCCUCAAUGUGAAUUGUGCUUAUAUAUUUUUCCUUCGUCUAGCGUUUGCAUGUAGUUGGGAAAAAUGAGUAUUAGUAUCAUCAUUCCAUAUUUAGCUAGGUCAGUCAAAAGUGUUGUCUCGCCUUUGCUUUCUGUAUUGCGAUUAGACCCAUUGAUUUUGCCUUAAGAUAUUUCUUGAAUUCCACUUCUUCUAUUGUCAGGGGACGUCUUUUCUGUGCCUUCUCUAGCUCUCUAUAGGAUGAUGUGAAGGACGUCAUUCCCUAGUUUCCAUUCAGUAAACAGUGUAUGCUUCCAUACUUUUAACGCUCUUGCCAUGCGGAGGAGCUUGGUGUUUACUGUCUGUUCCCAUGUUGAACCAUCUAUAUAAACCCCAGCAUAUUUACCCAAUAGUAAAAAUGGAAACCAUGGCAAAAUUCAAAAGUAAUAUCCUCUACAAGAGCAAAAGACCAUGGUCCCAUUAUUUUGCUAUGUGAGCCCACUCCUCUUAUUUUUCACCUUUAUUUUGAUUAUGCUACUCAAGUGUUGUAUCUGACUUUUAUUUUUUGACUUGGCUUACUCCUCUUAAGAUGUCAUUUGUUCCAAAUCCUUAAUGUUGGAAGUGGUUAGAAUUCCUCUAGUAGCGGAGGUCAGUCGAGCCUACUCGCUCGCUGCAGCGAGAGGCUUGAGUGUGCUAACAAUCAAGGAAGAGAGAGCUCGAAACCCUAGAACAGUAGUGUUUCAGUAAAUUGGUUUCAACUAACUCUUGAAAGAGCAUUUAUAACCCCUUUAUAUAGGGUGCGGAUCCCAACCGAGAUCCGUUACAGCAAUGCCCCAUGACGGUGGCGGGAUAUUCCAGCAUAUUUCGCCACUACAAUCUAUAACCCACAGGGCUACUUGAGUAAUUUCGAACUGCAAGCUCUUUGCAGGCUGUCGCGUCGGAGUCCUGGUCCUAUCGUAGCUCGAUCCUUCUCCUAUCCUUCGUCGAGGCUCAUAGAUCCUCCGCCUUGCGGCCGACGAGGGAUCUUUGUCCGCCACUCAGAGGUUCUUCGGCUUGGUCGGGGUCAGCACGUCCUUCAUCACGCAAGGGCUGAAGGAUGGGCCCUUACCCCCUGUGAUUCUCCGCUCCAGGUUGGUUCCUGCACACAUGUCUCACCAAACCGAUCUGCAUCAGCAUUAAAUUUUUCCGAACCUUCGUCCCUUAUCGUCCGAAGGUUGGGGGCAUGAAGGUUCGGUCAUCGCGAUCGAGUUACAUCUUUUCUCUCCGAUGCAGCUAGGGGGUGAAGGCGUGGUUGAGUUCUCAAUACUUAAAUAUAUAAUUUGUCCAUACACAAAUUUCAAGUCGUUUUGGACAUGAUUUAGGAUGCCAAGAAGUGAUUAAUCAGAUGUAUUUUUUCUUAUCAGCACCUAUUAUUAAAUAGAGUUCGGGUUUCUCCAUAGAUCAACCACUCGUCGCUAUACUGGCAAGCAGUGUGAAGCCCAAGGUGUUAGGUCUUAGGUUUAAUCCCUUGCUUUCAGUUCUUUUUUAAUUGGUGGUCGUUUUUUUCCAUAGCCUGCAUGGCUAAGCGAUACAAUUGGCUCUUCGACGUUCGAGUGUGUGUGAAGUGAGAGGAGCCAUGAUUUACUUAUGAAUGCACAUGGCGUGAGAGGAGGCACGAGUUACUUUCCUCUUCAAGACUGAGACUGAGCGACUGGACACGGGAGACGAAGGACCGGGGGGUGAUUAACUUUGUUCAAAAUGUUGUUAAAGAUGCAAAAAGACUUCAAUUGUGAACACCCCACUCACCAUCCAAAACUACUUUAAUUUGAAAUAUGAAGGGAGUCUUCACAAAGUUGUGAAUAUAAGUUAUGUUCCGUAAAAUAUUAUGAUAAAAGUUGUGUGUGUAACUUGGUACGUUUGAUUGAGUGCAGCGUGAUCUAUUUUUCUCUUCGAGAGUGGUUGACUCGACAUGGGAGACGAAGGACAACCAGGGUGGAUUCAUGCAAAAUGACUUCAAUUGUGAACACCCCAAUCACCCUCCAAAACAACUUCAGUUUUGAGUACGGAGGGAGUAUCAUUAUUCCUGUUAUGUAAGCCCACUUUUAGGUCCAGAUUAAUUAGCUUUACUGCAUAUAUGUAAAUAUGUCAAAUAUAUACUUUUUGAAAUAAACUAUAUUCAAAACAAAUCUACCCACAUCAUCACUUCCAUACAUUCAAACUAAACAUGUAAACAUCAUUCAAUAGUCAAGAGGUUUCGAGAUGAUUGACGUAAGACAACCUGAAAAUGUCGAUUUAAUAAAAAAAUCAAAGCAUUUGUCGUCAAAGUAAUUUUUGAAAUGAUUGACCCACAUCAUCACUUUAAUACAUUCAAACUAAACAUGUAGUGUUAAUAAUUAUACAUCUUCUGCUACCUACCAAUAAGCCCCUCACGCAGCACACGGCUCCGUUUUCUAGUUUUUGUCUUGUAUUCGUUCAUCAGAUGAAUUCUGUAUUUGAAGAGCAGUGCGUGUCGCCACCUCAUGAAAAAAGCGUGCCAGCUAGGUACUUGUUUUAAUUUCCACCGUGUGAGUAUUUUUUUUGAAGUGGUGAGUUAAUUAAAUGAAACCAUUUAAUUUUUCGAAUCACAAAGUCUGCAACCCAGUUUUGCAACCAUAUAGCGAAUGAAGCAUAAUCGAAAAGUCAUGGAACACAGUCACAUCACAUGCAUGGCCCACAUGCAUGCAUAACGACAAUUUGUAAACAAAAAGAUGUGAGUGCAUCAUAAGGUAGCAGUGAUCGAACAAAAUACGUGUCCUCCAAAACCGUACGGAGAACGGAUCGGAGGAAGUAUGUUUUUGACGAUGGUAAAGUUUAUUUUGCGUAUAUGCUUUCACUUUUUCAUCCAUUAGAAGUGUGCAAACACACAUCUCAAUGUGUGAAACUGCUUUAAGAUAUGUGUUUACACACUUCUCAAAGCGAGUCCAAUAGAUGGGAGAGUGAGAGUAUAUGCCCUCAAGGACAAAAAAAAACAAAAAAAACUUUUGACGAUAAGAUGUAGUGCCCGUUUUUCAUUAAGUGGAAAUGAUCGUAGAAAGUACACGGAAACAACAAGCCAAAGGACAUCUCUCUCACACACACGUACGACACGGACGUACAUACGGAGAGAUUUUUUAUUCAGUAUACGACGUAGCAGUAUAUAUAGUAGACAACUCAUCAUCACCCGUAGAUAGAUAGAGACUCAAGCAUGGUCGUCGUCGAUGCUCCGGCGCCGACGACGGCGGCGGAAUGGAUCAUCGAUCGACGAUCAUCAGGUCGUCGUUUCGGUUUAGCUCACCCUGGAGCAGUCGGUGGAGGUGCUGAUGGUGUAGGGGAUGCUGACGCCGCACUUGGAGGGGAUGCUGGCGGCCUUGCCGACGUUGAGGCCGCGGAUGCCACGGGCGGCGUUCUUGAGGCAGUUGCAGGCGGCGCGCCUGUCGGCGGUGGUGCGGGCGGCGGAGUUGAGGCUCCUGACGCCGCUGCAGCAGCCUGCGGAGGGUCCAGAGCCCUGGCCGCGGGCGUAGGACAGGCAGGGCCCGAUGGCGGAGCUCACCUGACCGCAUGUCACGGCGGCCUCCGAGGUCGUCGCCGCCAGCACCACCGCCGCCACGACGGCGAUCGCCACAGCAAGCUUCAUGCUGCGAGCCAUGUCGAUCUCGAUCGACCUCCUGUGAUAUAUGUGCUGAUGCUCGUAGGUGACUGAUAGCUUUUGGGAUGCAGUGAGUGAGCAAGUGCUAGCUGGUGAGGAGAUUGCAAUGGAAUGUUGCUCCUUAAAUAGGCAGGCUUUGUGAUCGAUGUGUGAGCUAGCUAGCGAUUGCUGAUGAGUGAUGUGCAUGCAUGGGAUGGGUGUGCAUGCUGUUUCAGUCGGUGGAUGCAUGCAUAUGCGUAUAUGUCCAUGGAUCGAUGGUAUCUCUCGCCAUGCAUCGAAGUUAACUGCUGGGGAGGAGGUGGUUGGGUGUUGAGGGAGGAGGGCAGAUGCUUGUUUAGUUGUUGUAAUACCCGAUUUUAAGGACAAAACCAGAUAUGCACCAUAUGUGAGUUUUAAAAGCCAAAUCUCACAUAUAGCUACAAAUAAGGGGUAAUAUCAAAAGACAAUGCAAAAAUUAUAUAACGUACAUAAUAUAAAAGAGAUAACCUUUGAUAGCAAACAACGGAUAGACAACUCCAAACUCCGGGUAUUAACUUCUCUCUACAGGAUCCAACUGACUGGUUGAUCACAAGCCUAAACUUCUCCUGAGGUUUGGGGGAAAUAGCAAGAGUGAGUCCAUGUCAAACUCCACAAGUAUAGCAACUAGAUUGUAUAGCUCCCACAAUCUCAUGAUCAAUGUGACAUAAAUAAUGUAAAGCAUUAAACAAUAAGCAAUGAGCAUAUUUAACACACAAGAUUCAUCACCCUUAAUGUAGAUGUCCCCAAGGCCGUUCCUGACCGUGAGCUCGGCUAGUAUACUAGUUUUAACACUCUGCAGAGGUUGCACAUCUUUACCCAUGAGUCAUGAUUUACCCUUUCGCCCGAGGUGAUCAGCCUCUUAACCCACUUCCAAGGAAGGUCGGCAGGGAUCACUAUGAAGCCUUUCAAAAGUUCGUCUAACAUGUUAGGGCCGCAAGGUUUCCUUUGCGAGCAGAUAUAGAUACCCCCCUUCCGAAUGGCACAAUGACGCGCAGCCUAUACACAUAGGGACAGGGGCUCGCACUAUACCCGUGUCGGUUCAGCCCCUCCGCCCUUUCGGGUAACCUCUAACAAGCUAGAAAAGGUCUUCAUACUGAGCUAAAGCCAGAGCCAUUAUAGCCCUCAUGGUUGCACUGUUAUCCCGGGUGAUCACGUACAGACAAAUCAUCAAGUUGUUAAAAAGUCAUUUUUACCAUUUAUUACUUAACAUUAAUCUAGUCACAGGAUCAUGGUCACAGAAAUAAAAUCCAAAUGCUAUACUUGCCUCAAUCCAAUUGCUCUUGCUUAUCCUUUUGGUCCUGCUGGUCUCACUUGUUGCCAAAGCUUUGAUCUUGAUCACCGAAACUGCUCUCCGUCUAAACUCGAUCAUCGAUCAUCAACACACAAACAAUCGGACACAACAUACACGUAGCAAACAAGGCUAUAAUUAGAACAGUACACCAAUCAUAUAAAAACAAUAUGAAAAAUUUGUAAAAUAAUUCUACGCAUCGCUACGAUCUCACAGACGUAAAGAUGACGAAAAUCGGAGUUAAAACGGAAAAGAUAUGGAUUUUCUAAGAUUUUAUAUAGAAAAGUAAUUAAUUAAUUAAGGUCACGAAAUUAAAAGGUUUCAAACUGAGUGAACAAUAUUACUAACAUGUAGUGCUCGUGAUUACGAACCUAACACAAUUUCAAUGGACAAAACGGAGUUAAAACAGAGAUGAUAUGGCCUAAAUAAACUAGCGUAUUUUCUUUGUAUUUUUAGGUUUGUUUUUCUAAAGGAAAACGGCAAUAAAACAUGUCUAUGUUAUAACGACGUCAUCAAGCUAGCCAGCAACGUUUAUUCGCAGAUAUAUGUUAGACAUGUACAUCCCUAGAUCGAUUGCUGCGCAGAUAGAAACAUCGCCGGGCGAAACAAAUCAGUGCAUGCACUUGUAGAGGCUUUGUGAAAUUUCUCACACAGGAAUCGACAUAUUAAAGAUGCAAAGUUACCUCUUAUGGUGAUUAUAAGAUUCAAUAGGACAUGCUUGCCGAACGAUGGGUCAGUGGCCACGUCGUCAAGAACAGGUUGAUCUACGGCAACACCUUCUACUCCCGUGCUCUGUUGCUUGCUACUCUUCACGUGGCCAGCGAUUUGGUCUUCUGCUUCUUUGGUCCACAAUCACGAUGGUUCACCGGAACAUGGCAAGCAGCUCUGGCAAGCAGGACGUGGCAAGAGCAGAGCGGCGGCCGUAACAUGGCAAGGGCAGCAUCUAUCUAGGCAUGGCCGACGGCGGCGGCUCUCAAGGGUUUUAAGGACGUAAACACUCUAGACGAAUAUGACGUGUAUAUAUACGUGCGGUCUAGAUCAAGUUUGAUUAGGGUUAGAACUUAUUAUUUUUGGAAUUAAUUAUUUUCAUGGAUAAAAUAAUUAUAGAAAAGUCCAGAAUUAUUAUUUAAACUAUGAAAAAUAUUCUAAAAGCUCUGAAAAUUCGGAGAAAAUUCUCAGAGACAUUAUGGAAUAUGAGGAACUCAAAUAACGUAUUUGGACCUCAUGAUAAGAUAAUUUGGAGCAUCUAAAAAUUAGAUUUAUGCUCAUAGAAAAGUGAGAAUAGAAGAUGGAAAAAUUCCCGAAAAGUUUGUAGAGAUUGCUUGAUGGACGAGGAACUAAAAGAAGUGCUUUGAGUGACAAAGAAAAGAUUUUAGGAAGCUCCUAAUAAAAAAUUGAGCUGAGAAACCAAAGAAUUUGGUUAUAGAUAAAGAUAAAGACGUACUGGUCAAGGAAGAUCUACUAAACGCAUUUUAAAACUUUGCUCACUCAACACAUAAAGGAGCAACAAGUCAACAUCACAUCAAAACAUAUGCACCAGCAUGUAUGCACAACAAUAUUGCUAAGGCUUAUGAUAAAUUUUAAUUUAAUGAAAAUUAUUAUUUUCCUUAUAUUUUCGUGAGCACAAAAUACAAAACUGAAUAAAUUUUCAUCUAUUUUGAAAAGAGCAAAAUUUAGGGUGUUACAGUUGUCAAAAUUUUUUAAAAUUCUCAAUCAAAUUAAAUCUUGGGACACAAUGUAUCAAAUAUUAAAUAUAGAUAAAAAUUAAUUAAUUAUAUAGUUUGUAUAUAAUUUGCGAGAUAAAUUUUGUAAACCUAGUUAAUCUAUAAUUAAACAAAAAUUAUUAAAUAUAAACGGUGCUAUAGUAACUAGAUCCAAAAAUUUUCACCAACUAAGGGCUUGUACAACGAUGGGCGCUUAUGAUCAGGUAUUGGCCGUUAAAUAGUUUUUUUGCCACACGGUGGAGUCCUGAGCGGGCGCUUAAAAAUAGAUUUGCCGCUCCGUAAAGCAUCGACGCCUAGACCGGCUCCUUGCUUGAUACUGGUGUUUGCAUGCGACGUAACGGUCACAACUUAAGCGCCUUCAAAUACGUGUUGUGUUGUAGAUUAAGGUUAUAAAGAGACGCUUAGUUACAAAAGUAUUUUCUCUUUCCAUCUAAGCGCCUUUUGCAUUGUACGUGCUCUAAACAAGGCCACAGAUACAGACAUACAGUGGUUAGCUGAGGCAGAGUGAAAUCAUUAGCAGCAAACAUAUAAUAAAUAGCAGCCGCCUAGCACGACUUAGCGCCACUUAAGUUUUGUUUAGUUACGCUCGAAAUCCAAAAACUUUUCAAGGUUCUCUUCACGUCGAAUUUAGAGACACAUACAUGUAGCACGACUUAGCGCCACUUAAGUUUUGUUUAGUUACACUCGAAAUCCAAAAACUUUUCAAAGUUCCCUUCACGUCGAAUUUAGAGACACAUACAUGAAGCAUUAAAUAUAAAUAAAAAAAUAACUAAUUACAUAAUUUAUCUGUAAUUUGAGAGACGAAGCUUUUGAGUCUAGUUAGUCUAUAGUUGAACAAUAAUUAUCAAAUAUAAAAAAAAAUGUUAUAGUACCAAAAAAAUCUUUUCACUCACGAACUAAAUAAAGGCCCUAAUCUCAUCAUCCGCCUCACUGUUUAAUCGAAUGUCCUUGAUGGCCACCCACAGGCUCACAAAACCUGAGACGGUGAGACCUUGCCUGGGGUAGUAUAUGGGGCCAAUGGCCAAUCCAUUUAUCAGUUUGCCCAAGGCAGGUGGUGGGCCACUCUGUUCAAUUUUGAGUCUAAUAUAUGCAAUAUCUUCUCUUUUGUGCAAUUUUUGUCCGUGGGUUCAAACAAUCCUGCCACCGUGUCACCGGUGGCUGAUCGUGUCAACCCUUCGCCGCAGUCCGCUCCACCACAGUACGGGGGGCCCAGUUGCAGUCUCUGCCACCGCAGUAGGGAUGUUGAACUUGUAAUAAUAAAUAUGUGAGUGCUUUUAAUAUAUAAUGCAUGUUGGUGAUAUAGAUGUGAUAAUUGGCGUGUGUGUAUAUAUAUUGUCUGUUACAAUGGAAUGUAAAAAAUAAAACAAAUACAAUUCUCGGGGUCUUCGCCGAGUGCGGUGCCAGGGUCACUUGGCAAAGCAAUUUAAAAAAACAAUUUUGCCGAGUGUCGGGGCCACGACCACUCGGCAAAGAAUUUUUCUUUAAAAAAGAAAAGACACUUUGCCGAGUGCUGAUGCUAGGGGCACUAGGCAAAGUAUUUUUAAAAAAAACAAAUAUGCGGAGUGCCGCGGCAAGGGACACUCAGCAAAUAUUUUUUUUUUAAAAAAAAAGAAAGAAAAUCUUUGUCGAGUGCCUGAGGCCAGAGGCACUUGGCAAAGCAAUUUUUUUUAAAAAAACUUUGCCGAGUGUUAAGGGGCCAGGGGCACACGGUAAAAUAUUUUUUAAAAAACAAAAACUUUGUCGAGUGUCGUGUCGGGCAACUCGGCAAAAUAACUGUUAACGGCAGAUGCUGUGACGGCCAAAAAUGUUGCCGAGUGCUGUCGUAAGCACUCAGUAAAAUGUUUUUAAUAUUUUGCUAAGUGCCUCGGUAAAAAGCACUCAGCAAAGUCUCUUUGUCGAAAAUUUUUUUGCCGAGCGAACUUUGCUGAGUGCUACGUUCGGCAAAGCCUUUGCCGAGUGCAAAGGGCUCUUUGUCGAAUGUAAAAACACUCGGCAAAGUCCUAAUUUCCAGUGGUGGGUGUGCUGGGACAAUUUAGAAAGCAAGCAACGAUUUCAUUUUGCGUUAGAUCACUCCCAUCCUCGAAGCCUCAGUUUUUUUUUUCAGAAAUAAGUUCCAGCUGUUGCUGCUGAGAACUAAAAGAAGCUUUUCACCCUUGAUUGAUCAAUGGAUUGGCUCUCUAGUUUAACAGGCUUCUUUGUUGUACUCUUUUUGCUCUUUUUUCCUUAGUUUUUUUGUUCCUUAGUUAAGACUCCACCCUACUGCCUCCUUAACUGUUGUGCUUUUUUUUUUGUAAAAGACCUUUUUUAUUAUAAUUUUUGCAUUGUUGUAGGGGUGCAAACCCCUCCAAUCUCCUUCAAAAAAUUCAAAAGUAAUAUAACCUUGCAGAACAAAGGACGGUAAUCCCACCAUUUUGCUAUGUGAGCCCACUCCUCUUAUUUUUUUUACUUUUAUUUUGAUUAUGCCCACUCCUGUUAAGCAGUCAUUUGUUCCAUUCCCUAAAUAUAUUUCUAUUUUUUAGAAUAUUCAAUAAGGCGUAUAUACAUUAUAUUUUAAGAAAUAAACUAUAUUCAAGACAAAUCUACCCACAUCAAUAUUACUUGUAUACAUUCAAAUAAACAUGUAGACAUAAUAAUUCGAUAGUUAAGGUUUCAAAAUGAUUGAAAUAAGACAACUUGAAAUAUGUCACAAUAAAAAAUUAUUUGUGGUCAAAGUUUCUGAAAUUAUUGACUUACGACAACGUACAUCCAAGUGUCACUUAAUUGCUUUGUGAGCAGAGGGAGUAUAUAUUUUGGCAAGUUACCCUCCAUCUAAAAAUAUAAAACACAUGUUUUUAGGACAGUAAGAUUUGACCAAUAGGUGCUUGUGCCAUUAAUAUGCAUAAAUCAUAGAUACUUUUGAAUACAAAUAUCUAGUUACAUCAAUUUGCUACCACAAAAUUGCAAGUAUCUUGGUUAAAGCCAUGUCUAACAAAACAUGAGCUUUGGGAUGGAUAUAUAUCAUAUUGGUGUGUACGUUUAGUAGUCUCUCUUCGUUUCAAUUUAUUAGAUGUUGUUUUGGCUUUUGUAGAUACAAAAAUUUUUUUAUGUAUCUAGAUAACGUUUAUUAUGAUAUAGAUAUAUCGUAUAUCUAUAUGCCUAAAAAACUGAAUAUCUAGAAAAACUAAAAUAACCUAUAAUUUAGGAUAGAGGGUGGUAAUAAUUAUACAUCUUCUGCUACCAAGUCCCUUAAUUACAGCACACAGCUCUGUUUUCUAGUUGCCUUGAUCGUUCAUCAGAUGAAUUAUGUAUUUGAAGAGUAGCGCGUGUGUGGUCAUGUCAUGAAAACGUGCUAGCUAGGUACUUGUUUUAAUUUCCACCGUGUGAGUAUUUUUUUUUUUCAAGUGGCGAGAGUUCAUUAAUUAAAUAAAACCAUUCAAUUUUUCAAAUCACAAUACGUUGUCUGCAAAUCCUCUGAGUCAGCCAGUUUUUCGUUACGUGCUAUACUCCGUCCAUUCUAAAUUAUGUUUUUUAAACUUUUUGGUAUAUUCAUUUUGCUACAUACUAAAAAAAUUAAAAAUAACUUAUAAUUUAGAACAGAAGAGGUAUAUAUAUAGUUGCAUAUAUGCUGACAAGUGUUUGGGGGAGAAUAGAGCAGUAACUCUCUUGACCAAGCGUUUGGGAGUCAUGGAACACAGUCACAUGGCGCAUGCAUGCGUAACAACAAUUUGGAAACAAAGAGAUGUGUGUGUGCAUGUAGCAGUGAUCGAACUAGUACAAACCACAGGAGCGAGAGGAAACGUACACGGACAUAAAUAAUAAACACCGCACAUAGUGCAUGCACUCAAAAAUAAACCCAACAAGCAAAAGUACAUCUCUCACACACACAUGUACACACGCACGUACGUACAUACGCUAAGAUGCAAGCGUAUCACAGCGUACACGACGACACGUACGUACAUACGGAGAGAUUUUUAUUCAGUAGUACGACGUAGCAGUAGUAGACAACUCAUCAUCUCAUCAUAUCAGGCGUAGAUAGAUACUCAUCCAUGGUCGAUGCUCCGGCGCCGAUCGACGACGACGGCGGCGGCGGCGGAAUGGAUCAUCGAUCGAUCGAUCAUCGUUUAGGUUUAGUUCACCCUGCAUGAUCAUGCAUGCAUGGAAGACGAAGCACAAGUUAAUUAAACGACUUGAUAUUCAAGUUGAAUCAGACCAUGCAUGCAUGCAAAGUUGCAAACAACUUGUAGUGAUUGGAUCAUUCAUUCAGAUCAUCACUUAAUUACCUGGAGCAGUCGGUGGAGGUGCUGAUGGUGUAGGGGACGCUGACGCCGCACUUGGAGGGGAUGCUGGCGGCGUUGCCGGCGUUGAGGCCGCUGAUGCCACGGGCGGCGUUCUUGAGGCAGUUGCAGGCGGCGCGCCUGUCGGCGGUGGUGCGGGCGGCGGAGUUGAGGCUCCUGACGCCGCUGCAGCAGCCUGCUGAGGGUGCGGAGCCCUGGCCCCGGGCGUAGGACAGGCAGGGCGCGAUGGCCGAGCUCACCUGCCCGCAGGAGAUGGCCGCCUCCGAGGUCGUCGCCGCCAGCACCACCACCGCCGCCGCCGCCACCACGGCGAUCGCCACAGCAAGCCGAGCCAUGUCGUCGAUGUUCUGGGGGUGUCUGAGACUUGCUUGUACUAGCUUUGGAAUGCAAGUGAGCAAGUGCUAGCCGCUG